rfam:Eutypa lata TCREL1 unplaced genomic scaffold EL1_03_scaffold_1008, whole genome shotgun sequence.
GGAUUAGUGGUCAAGUGGUACGACAUGACUCUUUCAAUGUCAUUAUCAUGGGUUCGAAUCCCAUCUAAUCUA